AGUAACUCUGGAGAAGCUCGUAAGAGGGCCGAAGGUGCAACGCAUUAUUUAAGAUUAUGCGGAAUCUCUCAGGCAAAAGGACAGAGGAU
rnacentral:ncRNA from 1 species